rnacentral:rRNA from 3 species
AAACUGAAGAGUUUGAUCCUGGCUCAGAUUGAACGCUGGCGGCAUGCCUUACACAUGCAAGUCGAACGGCAGCACGGAGCUUGCUCUGGUGGCGAGUGGCGAACG